rnacentral:rRNA from 1 species
GACGAACGCUGGCGGCGUGCUUAACACAUGCAAGUCGAACGAUGAAACCUAGCUUGCUAGGUCGAUUAGUGGCGAACGGGUGAGUAACACGUGACUAACCUGCCCCUUUCUCUGGGAUAACGCUCCGAAAGGAGUGCUAAUACCGGAUACUCACACCGAGGCACAUGCCUUGGUGUGGAAAGUUUUUCGGAAAGGGAUGGAGUCGCGGCCUAUCAGCUUGUUGGUGAGGUAACGGCUCACCAAGGCGACGACGGGUAGCCGGCCUGAGAGGGCGACCGGCAACAGUGGGAGUGAGACACGGCCCAGACUCCUACGGGAGGCAGCAGUGGGGAAUAUUGCACAAGGGGCGCAAGCCUGAUGCAGCGACGCCGGGUGAGGGAUGAAGGUCUUCGGAUUGUAAACCUCUUUCAGUAGGGACGAAGCGAAAGUGACGGUACCUAAAGAAGAAGCACCGGCUAACUACGUGCCAGCCGCCGCCGUAA